UACGUAGGGUGCGAGCGUUGUCCGGAAUUAUUGGGCGUAAGGAGCUUGUAGGCGGUUUGUCGCGUCUGCUGUGAAAAUCCGGGGCUCAACCCCGGACUUGCAGUGGGUACGGGCAGGCUAGAGUGCGGUAGGGGAGAUUGGAAUUCCUGGUGUAGCGGUGGAAUGCGCAGAUAUCAGGAGGAACACCAAUGGCGAAGGCAGGUCUCUGGGCAGUUACUGACGCUGAGGAGCGAAAGCAUGGGUAGCGAACAGGAUUAGAUACCCCCGUA
rnacentral:rRNA from 1 species